rnacentral:rRNA from 1 species
CAAGUCGAGCGGAAACGAUGGUAGCUUGCUACCAGGCGUCGAGCGGCGGACGGGUGAGUAACGCGUGAGAAUCUGCCCAUUUGUGGGGGAUAACUCGGGGAAACUCGAGCUAAUACCGCAUAAUCCCUACGGGGGAAAGCAGGGGACCUUCGGGCCUUGUGCAGAUGGAUGAGCUCGCGUCGGAUUAGCUUGUUGGUGAGGUAAAGGCUCACCAAGGCGACGAUCCGUAGCUGGUCUGAGAGGAUGAUCAGCCACACCGGGACUGAGACACGGCCCGGACUCCUACGGGAGGCAGCAGUGGGGAAUCUUGGACAAUGGGGGCAACCCUGAUCCAGCCAUGCCGCGUGUGUGAAGAAGGCCUUCGGGUUGUAAAGCACUUUCAGUAGGGAGGAAGGCUUACCGCUAAUAACGGUGAGUACUUGACGUUACCUACAGAAGAAGCACCGGCUAAUUUCGUGCCAGCAGCCGCGGUAAUACGAAAGGUGCGAGCGUUAAUCGGAAUUACUGGGCGUAAAGCGCGCGUAGGCGGUUUGUUAAGUCAGAUGUGAAAGCCCCGGGCUCAACCUGGGAAUUGCAUUUGAAACUGGCAGGCUAGAGUGCAGUAGAGGGAGGUGGAAUUUCCGGUGUAGCGGUGAAAUGCGUAGAGAUCGGAAGGAACACCAGUGGCGAAGGCGGCCUCCUGGACUGACACUGACGCUGAGGUGCGAAAGCGUGGGGAGCAAACAGGAUUAGAUACCCUGGUAGUCCACGCCGUAAACGAUGUCUACUAGUCGUUGGGAAUCUUAGUAUUCUUGGUGACGAAGUUAACGCGAUAAGUAGACCGCCUGGGGAGUACGGCCGCAAGGUUAAAACUCAAAUGAAUUGACGGGGGCUCGCACAAGCGGUGGAGCAUGUGUUUAAUUCGAUGCACGCGAAGAACCUUACCAGGCCUUGACAUCCUUGGACUUUCUAGAGAUAGAUUGGUGCCUUCGGGAGCCAAGUGACAGUGCUGCAUGCUGUCGUCAGCUCGUGUCGUGAAGAUGUGGGAUAAGUCCCGUAACGAGCGCACCCUGUCCUAGUGCCAGCACUCGGUGGACUCUAGGGAGACUGCGUGACAACGAGAGUGGGACGACGUCAGUCAUCAUGCCUACGGCUGCUAACCACGUGCUCAUUGGGCGAUACAAGGCACGAGUCGCGAGGCGAGCAAAUCCUUAAACUGUUUCGUUAUCUCCGGAUGUGAAUC